ACACGAACGGGAUAGCUGCU
rnacentral:miRNA from 1 species